rnacentral:rRNA from 1 species
UGGCUCAGAACGAACGCUGGCGGCAGGCUUAACACAUGCAAGUCGAGCGGGCGUAGCAAUACGUCAGCGGCAGACGGGUGAGUAACGCGUGGGAACGUACCUUUUGGUUCGGAACAACACAGGCAAACUUGUGCUAAUACCGGAUAAGCCCUUACGGGGAAAGAUUUAUCGCCGAAAGAUCGGCCCGCGUCUGAUUAGCUAGUUGGUAGGGUAACGGCCUACCAAGGCGACGAUCAGUAGCUGGUCUGAGAGGAUGAUCAGCCACAUUGGGACUG